AAAAUAAGCACAAAUAUGAAAAACAAACAUUUAGCCAAAUGUUAAUUUAAACAUAAAACUGGCUGAGAGAUGAAUUCUGUACACUAUUGUCACGUCUGGCGCUGUUAGCUCCUCUGUCCCUUCCACACCCAGCUCUAACGGAGGUUCUCAGGUCAACAACUACACUACCCAGAAUGCACCACCCGCUGACAUCACGCACACACCUGAUCACGUGACACCUCACCUGCUUCCUCCAGGAAGUCCCGAAUACUGAUUACUGGCACUAUAAAGGAGCACGCCAAACAGACUACCACGCCGCGUAUUGUAGGUUAUCCUCGUACAAAGCGUUACUUAUCUCUUGUCUCAGUUUAUCUUGUGUAUGACCUUGCUUUUGUUUUUCUCGACGCCGAUUAUUGCCUUUGCCUCUGAUACUGGAUUACCUGUGUAUUACCUGGACUGUGUUUUCACUACUGCCUCUUGGAUUACCUCUGAUACUGGAUCUCUCGUGUAUGGACUCUGGACUGUUUCAUGGUUAUGGUGCAACACAAAAAAACAAAAAAGGAUCCAGUCAAAAUUCCAGUGACUGCUGCACACACGUUCACUGAAAAAUAGCAAAAAUGAUUGAUGCCAAAACUUGGACUGAGAGAACUGCAGAUUCAUUUGAGGAAAUCCCAAGACAAAAAGGAGGCAACAACUGCGGUAUAUAUGUGCUGAUGGUAGGUAGAAAGGAUUUUUACUAAUGUCAGCUUUUAAGUUGCUCAUUAUCUCUGUAGCCUUUCAUUUGAAACUAUUUCUUUUCACUUCCGAUAGUAUAAACUUUACAUUGCUCUGGGUCAGAAGUUUGAUUUUACAGUUUAAUUAUCGUAACUUUCUUUCAAAGUACAUUCUGUCUAUUGAGUUGGACAAAAAAAGGUUAUUUGUUUAUUUCAGGAAGACAUGCCUUUCAUCAGACGAUGGUGGUGUACUCUGCUGAUGACUAACUUCGCUGUAGGUGUAUAUAUUUUAAUGGUUCUUAUUGUGUGCGCGUGUGUAUAUUUUGUUUGUUUUUUAUAUUUUUACUUUUUGAUUUGAUGCAUUAAGGCCAAGAUGCAAGUUAUCUGAAGGAGAGGAUGGAAGUGAUGAGCCUCCUUAUAAGAAACAGCACCUCCAGGAACAAUCAGAUUGCACAGGUAUACACUGAUUUUUUUUUUUUUUUGUAUUAUUUUGAACAGUGUGAUAGAUUACAACCAAUCCAUUUUCUCAGAUAAGGUGAUGUACAAAUUUGCUUCAUACUCAUGCAGACAAUGUUUUGUUAGGUACACCUAACUAACUGAUUAACAACAGACUGCAUGGGUGUUGCUAUUGAGUAAAUGCUAAACCAGAUACCCACAGAAAAAGAUUUGAGUAUAAGGUGUUCUGCUCUAAUUAUGUUCUACGGUGUAAAGAAAUAAUUCAUAUGGAACCAAGGAAUAGGAUAAUGUGAGUAAUAUAAUGUAUUUAAUAAGUGAUUAAAUAUAUACUGUUGUGUGUACAUGUCACUGGUUAAAUAUGCGCUACACCGCGCUGAACUUAGUUCAGAAUCAGCUUCUUAUCACUGGUAACGCCGCAGCUUUCCUCUCACUCAUUCCCGCAGUGGAGUAAAAUAAUGUAUUCAAUGCUUUGAUUAGAUCAGAGCUUAUGUGGCAUAGUCAGUGCUGAUUGCUUUUUAUUUGCCUGACAGCUGCAGUCCUGACUAGAUAUCUUCAUGUUGUGAUUGAGAGGUGUUUUACUGUUCACAAAAAUGUUAUCACACAAAUGUAUAUACAGGUGGAAGAGAACCUGAGGACUCACAGGAGAAUGCAACAAUCCUGCAGGUUUCUAUUAAAUAUUUUAAAUAUUUCAUAUUUUUAGAGGAUGGACAACUUGCAGGAUAAUGGUCAUUAAUGUGUUGUUGAACAACUCAAACAGAGUGAAAGGAAGAUGAUUACAUAUGCAGAGAAACAGAAGGACAAAAAAGUGUAAUUUAUAGAACUCAUUCUGUUGUCUGUGUGUCCGUCUCCCGGUCUCCCAUAGAUCCCAAAUAAAAAUUUUACAAAGGAUCCUCCUGGAGGUGGUUCUGAGUCAGGGGGAUGUAUGUAUGCCGUAGAUUCAGGGCGAUUGUUGGUCAUCCAGGAUUUAAACAGUUGGCGUGACGUGACAGGUGUUGUCAACUGGAACAAGUUUUCAGAAGAGGAAUCCAGGGUGAAUUACACCAUCUCUGAGUGCUUCACCUGCAAGACCCUUUUCAAGUCAUGUCCACCCGGCUACAAAGGAGGAGGCAAACGAGGAGUGUCGGAGGGGUUUUAUUCCACUGUGGACUGGCCAGAUUUUUGUUCCCAGGACUGUUUUUGUGUGUCAGGGGGACUGUCCCAGCCAAACUUCAGUUCACACGCAGAUGCUGUCUUGAUGUUUAGUUGAUGUUUAUUUAAGCAAAGCACAACAUAUGAAAGUAUCAAAAAACUCUAAUAAAUAAACAAAUUAAUUACAGCUUGCGGUGGAAAAACUGUUUGCUCUUCUGACUGGGCACUAGCUAGGUCUACCUCAUUCCCUUACAAGGACCCGAUAACCCUGAAAACUUGGAUGCAGUGACCGGUAUGCAACACAUGAGGGAGACAUUUAGUGGGUUAUGAACAUAAGUGACCUAGGUAUAGAAUUGCUAUGGAUAAAAAUGGCUCCAACAGGGACAGUUGUAGCUUCUUUAACCAGUGUGCUGUGAGGUAUUGUACGGUGUGCUGUGGAACAUUAUCAAUACAUUUAUUUUCUUUUGUGUCAAUGUGUUAAGGUUUUAGUGAUCUACAGUAUAUAUGUGAGCAUAUUUUGGCAAUUAAAUAAAUAUUUUUGCUGAGAAGUAUGUUGGUGUAAUAUGCUUAUUUGUUAUUUUAGUAUUUUGAGAUUGUUGUAGA